UACAGAGGGGGCGAGCGUUGUUCGGAAUUACUGGGCGUAAAGGGCGCGUAGGCGGCCAACUAAGUCGGAUGUGAAAUCCCCAGGCUCAACCUGGGAACUGCAUCCGAUACUGGAUGGCUUGAAUUCGGGAGAGGGAUGCAGAAUUCCAGGUGUAGCGGUGAAAUGCGUAGAUAUCUGGAGGAAUACCGGUGGCGAAGGCGGCAUCCUGGACCGACAUUGACGCUGAGGAGCGAAAGCUAGGGGAGCAAACGGG
rnacentral:rRNA from 1 species